UGGUGGCACGUGCCUGUACUGUAGUCCCAGCUAUUCAGGAGGCUGAGGCACGACAAUUGCUUGAACUCAGGAGACGGAGGUUGCAGUGAGCUGAGAUCGUGUCACUGCACUCCAGCCUGGGCAACAGAGCAAGACGCCAUCUCAAAAAAAAAAAAAAAAAGAUGGCGUCUAGGGAAAACAAGAUCACGAUGGCCUUGAAACUUGAACUCUUAAACUCAAGAGAUUCUCCCACCUCAGCUUCCUGAGUAGCUGGUGGGGGACUCAUAGGCAUGUGCCUUUUUCUUCCCUAUAUCUUAAAAGAAUUUUCUGUUUCUUAAAUUAUUUGUUUUUAUUUUUUUAGAGACAGGGUCUCUCUUUGUCGCCCAGGCUGGAGAGUGCAGUGGUGUGAUCAUAGCUCACUGCUGCCUCCAAUUCCUGGGCUCAAUGAUCUUCCCUCCUCAGCCUCAUGAGUAGCUAUAGGGAUGUGCCACAAUGCUGAAAAAGAGCUGUCUAUACUCCAAUUCUUCCUUUCCCAUUUGCUCUUGACCCACUCAAAACAGCUUUCACUUCCAUCACUGUUCCUGUUAAGGUCACCAGUGACCUCUGUGCUGCUAAAUCCAAAAGGUAAUUUUCUUUUUUUUUCUUUGAGACAGGGUCUCACUCUGUCAUCUACCCAGGAAUGAAGUGGCACAAUCAUAGCUCCCUGCAUCCUCGACCUCCUGGGCUCAAGUGAUCAUCCUGCCUCAGCCUCCCAAAGCACUAGAACUAAAAGGUGUGUGCCACAACGCCUGGCUCAAAAGGCAAUUUCCAAUCCUCUUUUUGCCAGACACAUCAGCAGAAGUGACAGCUGAUUAUUUAAUCCUUCUUGAAACAUUUUCUUCACUUACAUGCCAAGACCCCACAUUCUCC
rnacentral:lncRNA from 1 species